rnacentral:rRNA from 1 species
UGGGGAAUUUUGGACAAUGGGCGCAAGCCUGAUCCAGCCAUGCCGCGUGCGGGAAGAAGGCCUUCGGGUUGUAAACCGCUUUUGUCAGGGAAGAAAUCUUCUGAGUUAAUACCUCGGGAGGAUGACGGUACCUGAAGAAUAAGCACCGGCUAACUACGUGCCAGCAGCCGCGGUAAUACGUAGGGUGCAAGCGUUAAUCGGAGUUACUGGGCGUAAAGCGUGCGCAGGCGGUUUUGUAAGACAGAGGUGAAAUCCCCGGGCUCAACCUGGGAACUGCCUUUGUGACUGCAAGGCUUGAGUGCGGCAGAGGGGGAUGGAAUUCCGCGUGUAGCAGUGAAAUGCGUAGAUAUGCGGAGGAACACCGAUGGCGAAGGCAAUCCCCUGGGCCUGCACUGACGCUCAUGCACGAAAGCGUGGGGAGCAAACAGGAUUAGAUACCCUGGUAGUCCACGCCCUAAACGAUGUCAACUGGUUGUUGGGAAGGUUCCUUCUCAGUAACGUAGCUAACGCGUGAAGUUGACCGCCUGGGGAGUACGGCCGCAAGGUUG